rnacentral:rRNA from 1 species
GAUGAACGCUGGCGGCGUGCCUAAUACAUGCAAGUCGAGCGAACAGACGAGGAGCUUGCUCCUCUCACGUUAGCGGCGGACGGGUGAGUAACACGUGGAUAACCUACCUAUAAGACUGGGAUAACUUCGGGAAACCGGAGAUAAUACCGGAUAAUAUAUUGAACCGCAUGGUUCAAUAGUGAAAGACGGUUUUGCUGUCACUUAUAGAUGGAUCUGCGCCGCAUUAGCUAGUUGGUAAGGUAACGGCUUACCAAGGCAACGAUGCGUAGCCGACCUGAGAGGGUGAUCGGCCACACUGGAACUGAGACACGGUCCAGACUCCUACGGGAGGCAGCAGUAGGGAAUCUUCCGCAAAGGGCGAAAGCCUGACGGAGCAACGCCGCGUGAGUGAUGAAGGUCUUCGGAUCGUAAAACUCUGUUAUUAGGGAAGAACAAAUGUGUAAGUAACUAUGCACGUCUUGACGGUACCGAAUCAGAAAGCCACGGCUAACUACGUG